rnacentral:rRNA from 1 species
UACAGAGGUCCCGAGCGUUGUUCGGAUUCACUGGGCGUAAAGGGUGCGUAGGUGGCAUAGAAAGUUUGAUGUGAAAGCUCAGGGCUUAACCCUGAAAUGGCAUUGAAUACUGCUGUGCUGGAGGUUUGGAGGGGGGACUGGAAUUCUUGGUGUAGCAGUGAAAUGCGUAGAUAUCAAGAGGGACACCAGUGGCGAAGGCGAGUCCCUGGACAACACCUGACACUGAGGCACGAAAGCUAGGGGAGCAAACAGG